rnacentral:lncRNA from 1 species
AUCUGUGUGGAGGAGUUUCCAUUUGUUGCGGCGGUCUCUAAUUCGCUUGGUGCAGGUCGGGAACUGACUCACCGGUGACGCUGUCCGCGCCGGAAUCGGUGGCGUUAGUUUCGUUGAUAUUUUGUUUGCAUUUAUCGAUAUUUAGAGAGCUCUCUUUAGGACUUAUUUGUUAGUAAUUUGUUUUGUUGAAAUUAACUUGAUGUAUGUGUAGAUAAGUAGAGAGUGUUUACCCCCGGUUGGUUAAGUAAUAGAUAUGAAGAGAGUUCAUUUUUUUUUUGUUUUUAAUAAAUUAGUUAUGUAUGAAAGUGCGCCUCGUCUAUGGCUUAAGUUUGUUCCCGCCUUGCAUCAACUGAAUCGGUGACCGCGGUGAAUUUGAUUAUGUUUGGAUCGAUCUAUUCUCUCGCUACAUGAGGUUUGUUUUUCAUUCAUUUUGAUUCAAAUAUUUGCAUAUAUUUUUAUCUGUAUCGUGUGCGUGUGUUUGUUUUUUCACUCUUCUCUCUUUAUUUUUUUUAAUAUUUCUGUUGUGUAACUGAUUGGAUUUAUCUGGAUCUAGCUGUAUCUAUUGCUGUGUGCAGGCUCGUGAUCCCAGCUGUGUUUAUUUGUCCUUCGGAUGAUCGAAGAGUUUGGCUGUGCUUGUAUAAUAAAUGUGCAAUUUUUUUUCUUCUUCCGUUUUAAUGCAAUUUUUGAAUUGAUGAAAUUUCAUUAAAAAUAAGAGUUGCGGGGAACAGACAUAAUGAUUUAAAAAUCCUCCUGUUGAGAUUGCCACCAUGGAUUAAUCGUGCAAUUUUGAUGUGUAAGAGGAGGUUGUGCUUCAAUAGCGAAUGUUCAAAGUGAACAAUUUUAGUCAUGUUGACGAAUCAUAGAUUUGAGUUAUGGAUUAAUGUUGGAAUAUCACGUGUUUUCAAAUGAAGAAAAGUGACUCUUGAAUUGUCAUUGACGAAUUAGAGAAUUUCUAUUUUUAUUUAUAUUUAUCUGGAUUUAAGAGAUACUAGUGCUGAAUGAUGGAUAUUUAAGUUUGAAAUUUUGUA